rnacentral:rRNA from 1 species
CAGUCGCCACGGUAAAACGAAGGGUGCAAGCGUUACUCGGAAUUACUGGGCGUAAAGCGUGCGUAGGUGGUGGUUUAAGUCCGUUGUGAAAGCCCUGGGCUCAACCUGGGAAUUGCAGUGGAUACUGGAUCACUAGAGUGUGGUAGAGGAUAGUGGAAUUUCUGGUGUAGCAGUGAAAUGCGUAGAGAUCGGAAGGAACAUCUGUGGCGAAGGCGACUAUCUGGGCCAACACUGACACUGAGGCACGAAAGCGUGGGGAGCAAACAGGAUUAGAUACCCCUGUAGUCCCUGUCUCUUAUAC